GAUGAACGCUGGCGGCGUGCUUAACACAUGCAAGUCGAACGAAGCACUUUAUUUGAUUUCCUUCGGGACUGAUUAUUUUGUGACUGAGUGGCGAACGGGUGAGUAACGCGUGGGUAACCUGCCUUGUACAGGGGGAUAACAGUUGGAAACGGCUGCUAAUACCGCAUAAGCGCACAGCAUCGCAUGAUGCAGUGUGAAAAACUCCGGUGGUAUAAGAUGGACCCGCGUUGGAUUAGCUAGUUGGUGAGGUAACGGCCCACCAAGGCGACGAUCCAUAGCCGACCUGAGAGGGUGACCGGCCACAUUGGGACUGAGACACGGCCCAAACUCCUACGGGAGGCAGCAGUGGGGAAUAUUGCACAAUGGGCGAAAGCCUGAUGCAGCGACGCCGCGUGAGCGAAGAAGUAUUUCGGUAUGUAAAGCUCUAUCAGCAGGGAAGAUAAUGACGGUACCUGACUAAGAAGCACCGGCUAAAUACGUG
rnacentral:rRNA from 1 species